CAGUCGCCGCGGUAAGACGGAGGAUGCAAGCGUUAUCCGGAAUGAUUGGGCGUAAAGCGUCUGUAGGUGGGUUGUAAAGUCUUCUGUUAAAGAUCGGGGCUUAACCCAGUUUAAGCAGUGGAAACUUAUAACCUAGAGUACGGUAGGGGCAGAGGGAAUUCCCGGUGUAGCGGUGAAAUGCGUAGAUAUCGGGAAGAACACCGACGGCAAAAGCACUCUGCUGGGCCGAAACUGACACUGAGAGACGAAAGCUAGGGGAGCAAAAAGGAUUAGAUACCCCUGUAGUCCCUGUCUCUUAUAC
rnacentral:rRNA from 1 species